rnacentral:rRNA from 1 species
UUUUUUUUAUUUUUUUGUAUCUUCUCAGGAUGAACGCUGGCGGCGUGCUUAACACAUGCAAGUCGAACGAUGAUCUCCAGCUUGCUGGGGGGAUUAGUGGCGAACGGGUGAGUAACACGUGAGUAACCUGCCCUUGACUCUGGGAUAAGCCUGGGAAACUGGGUCUAAUACCGGAUAUGACUGACCGUCGCAUGGUGGUUGGUGGAAAGCUUUUGUGGUUUUGGAUGGACUCGCGGCCUAUCAGCUUGUUGGUGAGGUAAUGGCUUACCAAGGCGACGACGGGUAGCCGGCCUGAGAGGGUGACCGGCCACACUGGGACUGAGACACGGCCCAGACUCCUACGGGAGGCAGCAGUGGGGAAUAUUGCACAAUGGGCGCAAGCCUGAUGCAGCGACGCCGCGUGAGGGAUGACGGCCUUCGGGUUGUAAACCUCUUUCAGUAGGGAAGAAGCGAAAGUGACGGUACCUGCAGAAGAAGCGCCGGCUAACUACGUGCCAGCAGCCGCGGUAAUACGUAGGGCGCAAGCGUUAUCCGGAAUUAUUGGGCGUAAAGAGCUCGUAGGCGGUUUGUCGCGUCUGCCGUGAAAGUCCGGGGCUCAACUCCGGAUCUGCGGUGGGUACGGGCAGACUAGAGUGAUGUAGGGGAGACUGGAAUUCCUGGUGUAGCGGUGAAAUGCGCAGAUAUCAGGAGGAACACCGAUGGCGAAGGCAGGUCUCUGGGCAUUAACUGACGCUGAGGAGCGAAAGCAUGGGGCGAACAGGAUUAGAUACCCUGGUAGUCCAUGCCGUAAACGUUGGGCACUAGGUGUGGGGGACAUUCCACGUUUUCCGCGCCGUAGCUAACGCAUUAAGUGCCCCGCAUGAGACGCGACUUUU